rnacentral:rRNA from 1 species
AGUGAACGCUGGCGGUAGGCCUAACACAUGCAAGUCGAACGGCAGCACAGUAAGAGCUUGCUCUUACGGGUGGCGAGUGGCGGACGGGUGAGGAAUACAUCGGAAUCUACUUUUUCGUGGGGAUAACGUAGGGGAACUUACGCUAAUACCGCAUACGACCUACGGGUGAAAGCAGGGGAUCUUCGGACCUUGCGCGAUUGAAUGAGCCGAUGUCGGAUUAGCUAGUUGGCGGGGUAAAGGCCCACCAAGGCGACGAUCCGUAGCUGGUCUGAGAGGAUGAUCAGCCACACUGGAACUGAGACACGGUCCAGACUCCUACGGGAGGCAGCAGUGGGGAAUAUUGGACAAUGGGCGCAAGCCUGAUCCAGCCAUACCGCGUGGGUGAAGAAGGCCUUCGGGUUGUAAAGCCCUUUUGUUGGGAAAGAAAAGCAGCAGGUUAAUACCCCGCUGUUCUGACGGUACCCAAAGAAUAAGCACCGGCUAACUUCGUG